rnacentral:rRNA from 1 species
GAUGAACGCUGGCGGCGUGCCUAAUACAUGCAAGUCGAGCGAACAGACGAGGAGCUUGCUCCUCUGACGUUAGCGGCGGACGGGUGAGUAACACGUGGAUAACCUACCUAUAAGACUGGGAUAACUUCGGGAAACCGGAGCUAAUACCGGAUAAUAUAUUGAACCGCAUGGUUCAAUAGUGAAAGACGGUUUUGCUGUCACUUAUAGAUGGAUCCGCGCCGCAUUAGCUAGUUGGUAAGGUAACGGCUUACCAAGGCAACGAUGCGUAGCCGACCUGAGAGGGUGAUCGGCCACACUGGAACUGAGACACGGUCCAGACUCCUACGGGAGGCAGCAGUAGGGAAUCUUCCGCAAUGGGCGAAAGCAUGACGGAGCAACGCCGCGUGAGUGAUGAAGGUCUUCGGAUCGUAAAACUCUGUUAUUAGGGAAGAAAAAAUGUGUAAGUAACUAUGCACGUCUUGACGGUACCUAAUCAGAAAGCAACGGCUAACUACGUG